GACGGAGGAUGCAAGCGUUAUCCGGAAUGAUUGGGCGUAAAGCGUCCGCAGGUGGCAGUUCAAGUCUGCUGUCAAAGACCGGGGCUUAACUUCGGAAAGGCAGUGGAAACUGAACAGCUAGAGUAUGGUAGGGGCAGAGGGAAUUCCUGGUGUAGCGGUGAAAUGCGUAGAUAUCAGGAAGAACACCGGUGGCGAAGGCGGAUCUCUGGGCCGUAACUGACGCUGAGGAGCGAAAGCAUGGGGAGCGAACAGG
rnacentral:rRNA from 1 species